AGAGUUUGAUCCUGGCUCAGAACGAACGCUGGUAGCGUGGAUUAGGCAUGCAAGUCGAACGGGAUCGGCCGGAUAGCAAUAUUCGGCCGUGAGAGUGGCGGAUUGGGGAGGAACACGUGAACAACCUGCCCUUGAGUUCGGGAAAACCGUUGGAAACGACGGCUAAUAUCGGAUGUGGCGCCCGACGACAUCGUCGGAGCGCUAAAGGGGGCCGCAAGGCUCCCGCUCGAGGAGGGGUUCGCGCAUCAUCAGCUUGUUGGCGGGGUAACGGCCCACCAAGGCUCACGAUUAGCUGGUCUGAGAGGAUGACCAGCCCCACUGGGACUGAGAUACUGCCCAGACUCCUACGGGAGGCUGCAGUCGAGGAUCAUUUGCAAUGGGCGAAAGCCUGACAAUGCGACGCUGCGUGGAGGAUGAAGGCCUUCGGGUUGUAAACUCCUGUCAUAAGGGAAAAGGCGAGCCGACCCAACACGUCGGUUAGUUGAUUGUACUUUAAGAGGAAUUGGCGGCUAACUCUGUGCCAGCAGCCGCGGUAAUACAGAGGCCAAGAGCGUUGUUCGGAUUUACUGGGCGUAAAGGGCGCGUAGGUGGCGAAGUGUGUCGGAUGUGAAAUCUCCGGGCUCAACCCGGAAAGUGCGUCCGAAACUGCAUCGCUCGAGUACGGGAGAGGGGAUCGGAAUAUAGGGUGUAGCGGUGAAAUGCGUUGAUAUCCUAUAGAACACCGGAGGCGAAGGCGGAUCCCUGGAACGUCACUGACACUGAGGCGCGAAAGUCGGGGGAGCAAACAGGAUUAGAUACCCUGGUAGUCCCGACCUUAAACGGUGCACACUCGAGGUGG
rnacentral:rRNA from 1 species